rnacentral:rRNA from 1 species
UACGGAGAAUGCGAGCGUUAUCCGGAUUUAUUGGGUUUAAAGGGUGCGUAGGCGGACUGUCAAGUCAGCGGUAAAAUUGAGAGGCUCAACCUCUUCCCGCCGUUGAAACUGGUGGUCUUGAGUGGAUGAGAAGUACGCGGAAUGCGUGGUGUAGCGGUGAAAUGCAUAGAUAUCACGCAGAACUCCGAUUGUGAAGGCAGCGUACCGGCAUCCAACUGACGCUGAGGCACGAAAGCGUGGGGAUCAAACAGG